AUUCCUUAGUGAGCUUUCACUGCAUUUCAGUGCCAUUUCAUGGCACGAUCCCUGUAUGCUUCGCUAUUCCGUGAUGCUGUAGUGUAUGACUGAAUCUUUUCAUGGGUCUUUGGUUGCAGAAGUGCCCCCAGGGAAGGCCUUGCCCGAUCCUCGCUUUCCCCCUGCACUGGAGCCCAGCUGGAAUCCAGUGGUCUGGAAGGAGUAAAGGACGAAUCCGAAAGAGGAAAAUACUCCCAGGGCUCGUCCCGUCUGCUAAAGAAGUUGCUGAAGGAAAUGGAGAAGGCAGAGCGUGGAACGGAACAGCCAACUGAGCAGGAUGCACUGCAGGAAGACAGCUAUCCCACUCAGCCAGUCUCAGACAGUGUAAGAGAGGCAGCGCCGACACUAGCAUGCCAGGGAUGAAUGCAAGAAAAGCACAAUGGCUGCUGUUCACAGAUCUGCGCGAAAGCGCCUCGUGAUGGUGAUGUUUAGUGUUCUGAUGUCUGUGCUGGUGCUGGCCUGUGGUGCUGUGAUAUGGAUAUGCAAAAGAAUACCGGGUGAGUUGGCUUUUCCCCCAAACACUUUAUUGCUGCGUUUUGGCAAGGAAGCAUUUGUGGGUGCCAGGAUCCUGACAGCCAAACUUUACGUUGCAAAGCUUUCCAAGUUUCUCCUUAUUUCCUGUCAGUGAGUAGUGCUUUCUGAAACUCAUUUUCACAGACCAUGCAUGAGGAACGAGAGAGCAGCAGAACAAGCUGAUCCAAACAGA